UUCUAAGGAUGGUUCUUCAGAAGCUUGCUUCUAUCGAACCGUUUUAGAAACAUCAGUGGCCAACGAUCGUCAGGAUUGUUGAGCUGCAUUGGCGGGAUUUCGCCGUCUUCGUUUCUCUUUCUUCGCGGACGAACACGCGCUGGGCCUGCGAGAGCAGGGUCCCUGGUCCUUGACGGGAUAUGCGUUAGGGGCUUGUAGCUCAGUUGGUUAGAGCGCGCGCUUGAUAAGCGUGAGGUCGGAAGUUCAAGUCUUCCCAGGCCCACCACACUCAUCGGGUAAGCAUUCGUCUUCUGGUUACGGGGCCAUAGCUCAGCUGGGAGAGCGCGUGCUUUGCAAGCAUGAGGUCGUCGGUUCGAUCCCGUCUGGCUCCACCAGAUGGUUUGAUCACCGAGGCUGUGUUUGCAGGUAUUCAACCGUCGUCCGCGAAACAUCACUUCGCACCUGCUAGUCUGGAUAGACAGUAAGGUGCGUGAUUUCUGACAUCGUAAAGAGGAGAUCGAUCCGAGUUGGAUCGGGCAGCAAGCAAUUGCUGCGCGAACCUUCAUUAUCUCCGGAUCAUUUCGGCGCUCGCGCGCCUUUCAAUGCGGCUCACAAGGCUGCGUCUGAAGGGAAUGCGGGUUGUAAAUGAUCCUUUUAGCGAAGCUUGACCGCCUCGCUAUCGGAACGAUCUUACGAAGCAAGCUGGUCUUUCUAAUCAUUGUCCGGCUGUACGUAGCGUUCAUCGAGGGCGCGUGCCGUAAGG
rnacentral:tRNA from 1 species